AAACUGCGAUACUUAGCGUGAAUUGCAGAAUUCAGCGAAUCGUCGAGACCUUGAACGCAUCUUGCGCCCGGGGGCACCCCCCCGGGCACGCUUGUUUGAGCGUCACCUUAUCAUUCUCCCCAAAAACCCUCUUACGGGGGCACUCUGGGGGACUUUGGGCGAUGGACUCUAGGAGUCCACCGGCCGAAACGAGGCGCGAGUGGAAGUCUCCGGGCCGGCAAGGCGGAGCGCAGCGCUGCGAGGUUUGCUGCCCCUCGGGGAGCGCCGACGCACACGCCCGCCUCGCCUCUGCCGGGUACAACCCGGGGCGCCGCUCAGCGGACGGCCGCCUCCCUCGCAAGAGAGGGGCGGGCAAUCGCAUACAUCAAAUCUGCGACCUCAAAUCAAGCGACGUCACCCG
rnacentral:misc_RNA from 1 species